GAGAAGAACGCAGCGAAAUGCGAUAAGUAGUGUGAAUUGCAGAAUUCAGUGAAUCAUCGAAUCUUUGAACGCACAUUGCGCCCCUUGGUAUUCCAUGGGGCAUGCCUGUUCGAGCGUCAUUAUAACCCUCAAGCUCAGCUUGGUGUUGGGGCCUGCUGCACUGGCAGCCCUUAAAAUCAGUGGCGGCGCCAUCUGGCUCUAAGCGUAGUAAUUCUUCUCGCUAUGGAGUCCUGGUGGAUGCUUGCCAUCAACCCCCAAUUUUUCUAUGGUUGACCUCGGAUCAGGUAGGGAUACCCGCUGAACUUAAGCAUAUCAAUAAGCGGAGGA
rnacentral:misc_RNA from 1 species